rnacentral:rRNA from 1 species
CACGUAGGGCGCAAGCGUUGUCCGGAAUUAUUGGCGUAAAGAGCUCGUAGGCGGUCUGUUACGUCUGCUGUGAAAACCCGAGGCUUAACCCUGGGCUUGCAGUGGAUACGGGCAGACUAGAGGCAGGUAGGGGAGAAUGGAAUUCCCGGUGUAGCGGUGAAAUGCGCAGAUAUCGGGAGGAACACCGGUGGCGAAGGCGGUUCUCUGGGCCUGACCUGACGCUGAGGAGCGAAAGCGUGGGGAGCGAACAGG